GACGAACGCUGGCGGCGUGCCUAAUACAUGCAAGUCGAACGAGAGCGACCGGUGCUUGCACUGGUCAAUCUAGUGGCGAACGGGUGAGUAACACGUGGGUAACCUGCCCAUCAGAGGGGGAUAACAUCCGGAAACGGAUGCUAAAACCGCAUAGGUCUUCGAGCCGCAUGGCUUGAAGAGGAAAAGAGGCGCAAGCUUCUGCUGAUGGAUGGACCCGCGGUGCAUUAGCUAGUUGGUGAGGUAACGGCUCACCAAGGCCGUGAUGCAUAGCCGACCUGAGAGGGUGAUCGGCCACAUUGGGACUGAGACACGGCCCAAACUCCUACGGGAGGCAGCAGUAGGGAAUCUUCCGCAAUGGACGCAAGUCUGACGGAGCAACGCCGCGUGAGUGAAGAAGGUUUUCGGAUUGUAAAACUCUGUUGUUAGAGAAGAACAAGUGCUAGAGUAACUGUUAGCGCCUUGACGGUAUCUAACCAGAAAGCCACGGCUAACUACGUGCCAGCAGCCGCGGUAAUACGUAGGUGGCAAGCGUUGUCCGGAUUUAUUGGGCGUAAAGCGAGCGCAGGCGGUUCCUUAAGUCUGAUGUGAAAGCCCCCGGCUCAACCGGGGAGGGUCAUUGGAAACUGGGGAACUUGAGUGCAGAAAAGGAGAGUGGAAUUCCAUGUGUAGCGGUGAAAUGCGUAGAUAUAUGGAGGAACACCAGUGGCGAAGGCGACUCUCUGGUCUGUAACUGACGCUGAGGCUCGAAAGCGUGGGUAGCAAACAGG
rnacentral:rRNA from 1 species